GCCGCGGUGGCGGAAUUGGUAGACGCACAGGACUCAAAAUCCUGCGAUGGCAACAUCAUGAGAGUUCGAUUCUCUCCCGCGGCA
rnacentral:tRNA from 1 species